rnacentral:rRNA from 1 species
GGUUAAGCGACUAAGCGUACACGGUGGAUGCCCUGGCAGUCAGAGGCGAUGAAGGACGUGCUAAUCUGCGAAAAGCGUCGGUAAGGUGAUAUGAACCGUUAUAACCGGCGAUGUCCGAAUGGGGAAACCCAGUGUGUUUCGACACACUAUCAUUAACUGAAUCCAUAGGUUAAUGAGGCGAACCGGGGGAACUGAAACAUCUAAGUACCCCGAGGAAAAGAAAUCAACCGAGAUUCCCCCAGUAGCGGCGAGCGAACGGGGAGGAGCCCAGAGCCUGAAUCAGUGUGUGUGUUAGUGGAAGCGUCUGGAAAGGCGUGCGAUACAGGGUGACAGCCCCGUACACAAAAAUGCACAUGCUGUGAGCUCGAUGAGUAGGGCGGGACACGUGGUAUCCUGUCUGAAUAUGGGGGGACCAUCCUCCAAGGCUAAAUACUCCUGACUGACCGAUAGUGAACCAGUACCGUGAGGGAAAGGCGAAAAGAACCCCGGCGAGGGGAGUGAAAAAGAACCUGAAACCGUGUACGUACAAGCAGUGGGAGCCUCUUUAUGGGGUGACUGCGUACCUUUUGUAUAAUGGGUCAGCGACUUAUAUUCUGUAGCAAGGUUAACCGAAUAGGGGAGCCGGAGGGAAACCGAGUCUUAACUGGGCGUUAAGUUGCAGGGUAUAGACCCGAAACCCGGUGAUCUAGCCAUGGGCAGGUUGAAGGUUGGGUAACACUAACUGGAGGACCGAACCGACUAAUGUUGAAAAAUUAGCGGAUGACUUGUGGCUGGGGGUGAAAGGCCAAUCAAACCGGGAGAUAGCGGUUCUCCCCGAAAGCUAUUUAGGUAGCGCCUCGUGAAUUCAUCUCCGGGGGUAGAGCACUGUUUCGGCAAGGGGGUCAUCCCGACUUACCAACCCGAUGCAAACUGCGAAUACCGGAGAAUGUUAUCACGGGAGACACACGGCGGGUGCUAACGUCCGUCGUGAAGAGGGAAACAACCCAGACCGCCAGCUAAGGUCCCAAAGUCAUGGUUAAGUGGGAAACGAUGUGGGAAGGCCCAGACAGCCAGGAUGUUGGCUUAGAAGCAGCCAUCAUUUAAAGAAAGCGUAAUAGCUCACUGGUCGAGUCGGCCUGCGCGGAAGAUGUAACGGGGCUAAACCAUGCACCGAAGCUGCGGCAGCGACGCUGAUGCGUUGUUGGGUAGGGGAGCGUUCUGUAAGCCUGUGAAGGUGUGCUGUGAGGCAUGCUGGAGGUAUCAGAAGUGCGAAUGCUGACAUAAGUAACGAUAAAGCGGGUGAAAAGCCCGCUCGCCGGAAGACCAAGGGUUCCUGUCCAACGUUAAUCGGGGCAGGGUGAGUCGACCCCUAAGGCGAGGCCGAAAGGCGUAGUCGAUGGGAAACAGGUUAAUAUUCCUGUACUUGGUGUUACUGCGAAGGGGGGACGGAGAAGGCUAUGUUGGCCGGGCGACGGUUGUCCCGGUUUAAGCGUGUAGGCUGGUUUUCCAGGCAAAUCCGGAGAAUCAAGGCUGAGGCGUGAUGACGAGGCACUACGGUGCUGAAGCAACAAAUGCCCUGCUUCCAGGAAAAGCCUCUAAGCAUCAGGUAACAUCAAAUCGUACCCCAAACCGACACAGGUGGUCAGGUAGAGAAUACCAAGGCGCUUGAGAGAACUCGGGUGAAGGAACUAGGCAAAAUGGUGCCGUAACUUCGGGAGAAGGCACGCUGAUAUGUAGGUGAAGCGACUUGCUCGUGGAGCUGAAAUCAGUCGAAGAUACCAGCUGGCUGCAACUGUUUAUUAAAAACACAGCACUGUGCAAACACGAAAGUGGACGUAUACGGUGUGACGCCUGCCCGGUGCCGGAAGGUUAAUUGAUGGGGUCAGCGCAAGCGAAGCUCUUGAUCGAAGCCCCGGUAAACGGCGGCCGUAACUAUAACGGUCCUAAGGUAGCGAAAUUCCUUGUCGGGUAAGUUCCGACCUGCACGAAUGGCGUAAUGAUGGCCAGGCUGUCUCCACCCGAGACUCAGUGAAAUUGAACUCGCUGUGAAGAUGCAGUGUACCCGCGGCAAGACGGAAAGACCCCGUGAACCUUUACUAUAGCUUGACACUGAACACUGGUCCUUGAUGUGUAGGAUAGGUGGGAGGCUUUGAAGUGUGGACGCCAGUCUGCAUGGAGCCGUCCUUGAAAUACCACCCUUUAAUGGCUGGUGUUCUAACGUAGGCCCCUUAUCGGGGUUGCGGACAGUGUCUGGUGGGUAGUUUGACUGGGGCGGUCUCCUCCUAAAGAGUAACGGAGGAGCACGAAGGUUGGCUAAUCCUGGUCGGACAUCAGGAGGUUAGUGCAAUGGCAUAAGCCAGCUUGACUGCGAGCGUGACGGCGCGAGCAGGUGCGAAAGCAGGUCAUAGUGAUCCGGUGGUUCUGAAUGGAAGGGCCAUCGCUCAACGGAUAAAAGGUACUCCGGGGAUAACAGGCUGAUACCGCCCAAGAGUUCAUAUCGACGGCGGUGUUUGGCACCUCGAUGUCGGCUCAUCACAUCCUGGGGCUGAAGUAGGUCCCAAGGGUAUGGCUGUUCGCCAUUUAAAGUGGUACGCGAGCUGGGUUUAGAACGUCGUGAGACAGUUCGGUCCCUAUCUGCCGUGGGCGCUGGAGAACUGAGGGGGGCUGCUCCUAGUACGAGAGGACCGGAGUGGACGCAUCACUGGUGUUCGGGUUGUCAUGCCAAUGGCACUGCCCGGUAGCUAAAUGCGGAAGAGAUAAGUGCUGAAAGCAUCUAAGCACGAAACUUGCCCCGAGAUGAGUUCUCCCUGACCCUUUAAGGGUCCUGAAGGAACGUUGAAGACGACGACGUUGAUAGGCCGGGUGUGUAAGCGCAGCGAUGCGUUGAGCUAACCGGUACUAAUGAACCGUGAGGCUUAACCUU